CGGGAGGCAGCAGUGGGGAAUAUUGCACAAUGGGCGCAAGCCUGAUGCAGCCAUGCCGCGUGUGUGAAGAAGGCCUUCGGGUUGUAAAGCACUUUUGUCAGGGAAGAAAUCGUUCGGGCUAAUACCUCGGGCAGUUGACGGUACCUGAAGAAUAAGCACCGGCUAACUACGUGCCAGCAGCCGCGGUAAUACGUAGGGUGCAAGCGUUAAUCGGAAUUACUGGGCGUAAAGCGCGCGUAGGUGGUUUAUUAAGUUGGGUGUGAAAGCCCCGGGCUCAACCUGGGAACUGCAAUUGUGACUGGCGGACUAGAGUUUGGCAGAGGGGGGUGGAAUUCCUGGUGUAGCAGUGAAAUGCGUAGAGAUCAGGAGGAACACCGAUGGCGAAGGCAGCCCCCUGGACCUGUACUGACGCUCAUGCACGAAAGCGUGGGGAGCAAACAGGAUUAGAUACCCUGGUAGUCCACACCGUAAACGAUGAAUGCCAGUCGUCGGAUAGUAUACUAUUCGGUGACACACCUAACGGAUUAAGCAUUCCGCCUGGGGAGUACGGUCGCAAGAUUAAAACUCAAAUAAAUUGACGGGGACCCGCACAAGCAGUGGAGCAUGUGGUUUAA
rnacentral:rRNA from 1 species